rnacentral:lncRNA from 7 species
AGUCUGUCCUUUGUUCAUCUCCAAAUCUUGCUAACGACAGCAGCCUUUCUCCGGCUAUUUUUAGGCUGUGAAGACAUAAGAGCACAAUUCAGGUGAAUGCUGUAUGCUUGGGGAAGGUCAGCAGAAUGCUAAAGGGAACAAGAUUGUCUGCUGGGAGCAUCCAUCAUCUGCAAUGGGAAGAAAGUGUGUUUGAGGACUUCUCCCAUGGCUCUUCUGAUAGAGGUCAACUCUCAGUCUGCACUGACGAGUAUCUGAGGUGGAUUUCCCACCAUUGGAAAGCUGGCAGGACAGUAGCUGUGAGGAAUCGGUGUAGCAGCAUGGAAACCAGCACAUCGUAUUACUGGGGAAGUUGGAUUUGUGCAUGUUUUUCCCCCAGAGCUCUGAGGAAAUGCCAAAAGAAACCCUCUAAAUACAGUUGUCUCUCAAAAGAUGGUAUUGAAGGAAAAUGAAAGUGGAAUGACACCAGCUGGAGAUUCAUGGAUGUUUUGGGAAACAAACUUAGGCAAAGUCAAGGUGGAAGCCAAGUGUGGAUGUUAAAGAGGGAAGAUCAAUAAUUUAUCCUGUUUUCACUCUUGUUCUCCAUUCAGCUGCUUUGCAGUGUGUAUUUCCACAUCAUAUGUGGGAUUUUUUUUUUUUUUUUGGGAGUUGUUUCAUUUUGUUUCUGUAGUUGUUGAAAUCCAUCCCUGGAUCGACAAGAAUUUCAUUCAUUUACUCUUUGAGCUAAAUUUCACUCAGCAAUUUGCACUCAAAAGAAGAGAGCUCCUUGGUCUUCAACAUUUCUUUUACUGGCUCUGGGUUGGGGACUUUGAGGGAAUUUACUUUCUUUUCAUUAGGAAAACAAUAUGUCUGCAAAGCUGUCAGAGGUACUGCCACUGCAGGUUGUGCAGUGUUGUUGGCUUGCUCAGUGAGUGUAUUGCGGUGGAUUGGUGUAAGUAUGCGUGAGCUGAUCCCCCGUGCUAUGGGUUGCAAGUGUUCCCAACAAGAAGUGAUCCCCAAAUAUCUGACAGUGUUGGUGGUUUUCAGUAAGAGUGAUGGAUGGCCAAUGAGAGUGUAGCAAGUCAGCAAAACAACCAGGAGCCUUUGGGUGGCUGUGCAUUUCUGUCUUCACAGUAUGGAUCGGAUGCAAUUACUUUCCUUUGGUACUAGAACUCAUAAAGAGCAGCAGUGUUGUCCAAACUUCCUCUGCUCCUC